rnacentral:rRNA from 1 species
UUAUAGUGUAUAUUAAAGUUGUUGCAGUUAAAAAGUUCGUAGUCUAUCUUCUAGUACUUUACGUAUUGGCUCACGCCAAAACGCUAGAGUGCUAUCUGUUCGAAAACUUCUUCUACCUUAACUGGUCGGAGAUGCUGAUCGGACAUUUUCCUGAGAAAAAAUUAGAGUGUUCUAAGCAGGCUAUUGCAACGAAUACUUCAGCUUGGAAUAAUAGAAUAAGACUGAAGUCUCUUUUGUUGGUUAUGAACUUUAGUAAUGGUUAAUUGAAACAGUCGGGGGUAUUAGUAUUUAAGUGUUAGAGGUGAAAUUCUAUGAUUACUUAAAGACUAACUUAUGCGAAAGCAUUUACCAAGGAUGUUUUCAUAGA